rnacentral:rRNA from 1 species
CGGACGGCUGAGUAACGCGUAGGUGACCUGCCCCGAAGUGCGGAAUAACUGUCCGAAAGGGUGGCUAAUACCGCAUGUGGUGUCUUCAGUCAAAGCCGCGCUUCGGGAGGGGCCUGCGUCCGAUUAGCUCGUUGGUGGGGUAACGGCUCACCAAGGCGACGAUCGGUAGGUGGUCUGAGAGGACGAUCACCCAGACUGGGACUGAGACACUUUCCAGACUCCUACGGGAGGCAGCAGUCGUGAAUUUUGGGCAAUGGGCGAAAGCCUGACCCAGCAACGCCGCGUGAGGGAUGAAGGCCUUCGGGUCGUAAACCUCUUUUCUCAGGGACGAUUGACGGUACCUGAGGAAGAAGCCACGGCUAACUACGUGCCAGCAGCCGCGGUAAUACGUAGGUGGCGAGCGUUGUCCGGAUUUACUGGGCGUAAAGAGCGCGCAGGCGGUCGUACAAGUCGAAUGUGAAAGCCCCCGGCUCAACUGGGGAGGGUCAUUCGAUAC